GAAAGCUUUGAAAGAGCCCCUAUACAUUAGUUAGGAAUUGGAUAGAAUGCUAUGCUUCCCCUAUGAUGCUGAAAUGGUAGUUGGGAGGAAAAUAUAGUUCAGGUGAUUUUAGCAAAAUGCUCUCCAACUAGAAACUAGAAACAAGAAAGACAAACCUAGGAGCAUUGUUUCAAGAUAUGCAGAAAUUAAUAAGGUUAUGGUGCUUUGCGUAUCCAUUUAAAUGCCCCAUCAGUAAAGUAUUGAAAUUAGGGAGAGAGCAGUGGGAGAAGAACAGGGACAAAGCAGCAGAAGGUAGUUCACAGUGGAAAACAAUAGGGGAAACUGCAGGAGAAAGCAGCUGGAAGAGAGGAGUAGAGAGCAAUGAAGAUACAGUGGUGCAAACCAGGCAAGAAAC